GUGCUCGCUUGGGCAGCACAUACACUAAAAUUGGAACAAUACAGAGAAGAUUAGCAUGGCCCUGUGUACGGGUGACCCGCAGAUUCAUGAGGUGUUCCAUAUUUUU
ensembl:snRNA U6 U6 spliceosomal RNA